rnacentral:rRNA from 1 species
AGAACGAACGCUGGCGGCAGGCUUAACACAUGCAAGUCGAGCGCCCCGCAAGGGGAGCGGCAGACGGGUGAGUAACGCGUGGGAAUCUACCCAUCUCUACGGAACAACUCCGGGAAACUGGAGCUAAUACCGUAUACGUCCUUCGGGAGAAAGAUUUAUCGGAGAUGGAUGAGCCCGCGUUGGAUUAGCUAGUUGGUGGGGUAAUGGCCCACCAAGGCGACGAUCCAUAGCUGGUCUGAGAGGAUGAUCAGCCACACUGGGACUGAGACACGGCCCAGACUCCUACGGGAGGCAGCAGUGGGGAAUAUUGGACAAUGGGCGAAAGCCUGAUCCAGCCAUGCCGCGUGAGUGAUGAAGGCCCUAGGUUGUAAAGCUCCUUCACCGGUGAAGAUAAUGACGGUAACCGGAGAAGAAGCCCGGCUAACUUCGUGCCAGCCAGCCCGC